CUUAGAAGCGCUCGUUGUGGACGAGGCCUGGUUUUGUAGGGCUGCGUUUAUGUCUUUGGGGUUUUUAAUCGGUCAGUCAAAGGGAGAAUCAGUUGUUUUUUAAAGAUUUAAAACGUUGUGAAGGAUGUCUGCGGAUUCGGGGUACGGCCAGCAAGGCGGUCCACAAAGCUAUGGAUCUUAUGGUGGACAGGCUGCAAGCGGCCAGGGAUAUGGGCAAGGAAAUGGCACUGGCUCAUAUGGAGCUCAAACUUACAGUGGCUAUGGCCAGCAACCAGCAACUCAAGAAAAUUAUGGGCAGUCUAAUGUGAGUGGCUAUGGUCAGCAACAGACUGCCUAUGAAGGAUAUGGACAGGACACAUCUGCGUAUGGAGACAAGUCUUCUUCCUAUGGCCAACAAGCUUCAGGGUCUUAUGGCCAGCAAGCUUCAUAUGGGCAGCAGCCGCCAACAGCUUCCUAUGGCCAGCCAAGCUCCUACGGCAGUCAGAGUCAAGGAGGAGACACUUAUGGAAACCAGGGUGGCAGUGGUGGCUAUGGAGGAGGCGGAGGAAGCAGCAGCAGCAGCAGCAGUGGUGGUGGCUAUGGAAGAUGGAAUGAUGGUGAAGACAGUGGUCAAGGUGGGAGGUUUGGUGACCGAUCAGAAGGAGGCGGGUUCAGAGGCCGAGGGCGUGGUGGCUAUGAUCGCGGCAGUAGUUAUGACCGCAGUGGGGGGUACGACCGUGGCGGUGGAGGGGGCUACGAUCGCAGUGGUGGCUAUGACCGUGGUGGAUACGACCGGGGUGGAAGAGGAGGACCUCCUGGUAUGGGGUAAGUUGCAGAGUGCCACUGCCCCCAAGGUAUUUUGAUACAUUUGCAAACACACCUGUUCUGCAACAUGCCAUCUCUCACAGUAUUCAUCACAGUGACCCAUUUCCUGCGCAUUCACCAGAUUUCCCCUCAUGUCAAUGACCACUACCACUGCCAUGAUUCAAAUUUCUUAACUGAAGAUUUUAUUUAUUACUUUUUCAACACUUCACAUCAUCCAU
ensembl:lncRNA